GCUGGGUCCCCUUAAGGCAGCACCUUGACUCUUGGCGACCUCCGCCGAAAAGUCAUCUUCGUUACCUCCGAUCCUGCUUCUUCGUGUUCUGGCUCACCCGCGCCUCAUGCCGCCGUCUCCCUCUGCGCUGCGUUUUCCAUGAGGAAAGCCCCUGACGGGCGCCUCGUGGCACGAGGGGAUGCCCCUGAGGGCGCGGCUGGGCCAUCUCUUCACUCUCUCGCCCCAAUCCUACUCAUUUAUGCCGUUAUCAUCUUUCUCCACUGCAAACACCACCCCAGGACAACUUGCAGUGCCCCUGUCAGAGAGACUUGGAAGUUUCCAGAUGUAUUUCAAAUCUUAAUUAAGAUAAUUAAGAGAUCUGAUGGUGCCGAGUCCUCAUCGAUCUAAUUCCAGCUUCAUCAAUCCUGCUGUGAAGAUGCAGAUGGCAACGUUGAACGAGCUGAGGAAAGGAAUUGCUUGAUAUGCAACACAAGAAGAAAAAGAAGAGGGAAGUUUCAAAGGGAGAAAAAGAGUGACAGCAAAAGACUAACAGUGAUUGCCUUUGUUGAGGUGCUGCAAAUGUGCCUGGGGUGUUUUUUAUGCAGGAGGUUGCACCUGAAAUUCAAUUUUCAUAUGCAAUCUAAAGCUGAACAUCAGACUUCAGUCUAUAGUAAAAGAAAUCUCUAAUCCUAGGCAUAUAUAUAAGGCAAUGUACUGGAUUGGUUACUCUUUGUUUACUUGAAAAUCUGUAACACAAAAAUGUAAAUUAAAGACACAUCUGGAA